AAGGAGUCUAACAUCUAUGCGAGUAUUUGGGUGGCAAACCCAGAUGCGUAAUGAAAGUGAUAAGGUGGGAACGUAAGUGCACCAUCGACCGGUCUGGAUUUUUUUGAUAGAUCUGAGUAAGAGCAUAACUGUUGGGACCCGAAAGAUGGUGAACUAUGCCUGAAUAGGGUGAAGCCAGAGGAAACUCUGGUGGAGGCUCGUAGCGAUUCUGACGCGCAAAUCGAUCGUCAAAUUUGGGUAUAGGGGCGAAAGACUAAUCGAACCAUCUAGUAGCUGGUUCCCUC
rnacentral:misc_RNA from 1 species